CUUGAAAAUUUAUAUUUUGAUUUUAUGUCGUUAGACAGAAAUUUAGAUCUUCUUGAAGGAUCUCCGCAGAUGAUACCAACCAACGCUAAGUAUAGCUUCUUACAGUUUCCUUACUCCAUAACAAAGUCCCAAAAAGUAUACGUGCUAGCUUCUAUGGGUAAAAAUUCGUUCAAGGAAUUCUUCAGCGGCCAGAUUUAUUCCUGAAUCGACGUCAAUCGAUCCUUGUUCAACUGAACAAACAACCGGAGGCUUGAUUUUGAAAACACCCUGACCCCAUAGCCAUCGUAUAAUGUCAUCAUAGCCAACAGCUGAGAUAUGUACGCGUAAUCGUCGAUCUUGGUGACUUUCAAAAGAAUCGCACGCAACACCGCAGGCCAACGGAAGCCAACGGGCGAAUUCCGCAAUUUUUUAUAUUUUGGUUGAUCUUGUGGAACUCGACACACGUGAUAGAGCCCGGCCAUAUUUGAGAGAAACAAUCCGUCUAGUAGUAACCAAGAAUCCGUGAAGAACGGCUGGCGCUGGAAAACAGCUGUAUCGCGGUGAAGUUGUCGUGGAUAGUUUUGAUUGUUUCAAGUUUCAACAUUGACUCGUGUGAUUGAAUCGGAAAUUAUUGCACGAUGCACAGUACAGUGUUUCGUCAAGUGAGCCAAGUUCCAUCGGUGCUUGCGUUUAAACAAACUUCACCCGACGCUAGCCGUUUUGGUGAAUCCAUUCGCAUACUUUUACGAUGGAAGGGAAGCAUCUACAAGACAAUAUGGAAAGACUUGUUGGUUUAUUACGCUCUGUAUUACCUGCUCACCAUUUUACACAAAUAUGUACUCGACGACGACGGAAAAAAGUAAAGCCUUCGUGGCAUUGGCGAAAUACUGUCUGCGGAAUUCCAAUUCCAUUAACCUCAUGAUUAUGUUAUCCUUCUUUACAACGACGGCUCUGCAACGGCUCUUCUCCAUGCAAACCAUGAUUCCGGGAACGGCGAAAGUCAUAACAUUUUUCAUCAUGUCACUCAAAACAAAUUUGCCUGAGGGUCCGAUUAUUGUUGAACAAUUCGCACGCUGGACGGUACUGGCCUGGAUACUCACUUUCCGUGUUGUUUGUAAACCUCUUAGAGCGUUAUUCCCGGACAUGAUUUCUCUUCAGGUGGCUGGUAUCAUUCGAGAGAAAGAGAGAUGCAUUUUGGAGAGGGUAGAGACGGAGCACAACACGACACCUCGCGCUUUGGUGGUCAUCGACUGGAUGAUUUUAUUACUCAAAGAAACCGCGAUACACAACCGUUUCACGGAAAAGUCUAAUCACCUUAAAGUUCUAGAUAUUGUAAUGUCAUUCAAGAAAAGCUGCGGAAACACGAUCAAAUUUGCAACUAAAAAUAUUCCGUACGCCCUUAUCCAGGCUGCCAUUAUUGUCGUGUACACGUACGGAUUGGUUACGUUAAUGGCCCGUAAUUUUGAAGAGGCGGCCAGCAGUGAGUUCAUGGAAGGGAUUGUAAAUUUUUUCCCCGUGAUUCCCAGCAUGCAGUUUUUCAUUUUUCUCAUCUGGCUGAAUUUUGGCCGAGUGGCCGUGAAUCCCUUCGGAACCGACGAGGAUGAUAUCGACGUCAAGCUGCUACUGGAGACUCAUAUCCAUGAUUCUUAUCGAUUGGGAAAUCUCUAUAAUCAGGAAUUGGAUCACAUUUUUGGCGCUAUGCCCCAGAAGCAAUACAAUGAAGCAUCUUCUCUUCAAACUUCUGCUCCCAUUUAGAUGAGCAUACUUCAACAGCAUAUAAACGGUGUUUACUUUCCUAAGAAGUAAGAACGUGUAACACGUUAGCAUUACUAUAAGGGUUAAACAGAGAAUUAGCUGCAAGAGGAUCAGAAAAAAAAGUGGGUCAGCCUAUUUUCCUUUAUUGCCCGCCAACAACUCCUGGAAGGUGAGCGGAUCCCAGCGGGUUUAUUCCGCUUGCGUUUAUAGGGGAAACCCACCGAUGUUUUGUUGACUAAUCUCACGCUCUUCACGCGAGUGCUGCUGGUGUCUGGUGCUUAUUUAAAAGCGAAAACUCUUUAGUUGUAACAG